rnacentral:lncRNA from 1 species
CUGGAUUUUGAUGUGACCUCUUGGACGGCGGCUCUCUGUUCCAGAAAGGAACGUGCAGACCAGAGGAAACUCCACUGUGGGCCAGAUCCAGCCCGGGGGCCACUGGUUUUCAAUGUCUGGUCUAGGCUAAUGACUGCAUUGCACAAAUGGGGAAACUGAGGUUCCUGAGAUGGGAGGGGACUUGCCUGAGGUCACAAGCAGUCCAUUUCAGAGAUUAACCUAGCAUCCAACUCCUUAGUAUGCCUCACGGCCCUGCCCUCCAUCCCUUCUCAUCCUGCGUUUCUGGUGCUUCUGUCCUGUCAGUCACCGGAGAACCGCACAAACUAGCCUCCCCAGACUGACUUCCUUCUUUUUUUUUUUUGAGGAAGAUUAGCCCUGAGCUAACAUCUGCUGCCAAUUCUCCUCUUUUUGCUGAGGAAGACUGGCCCUGAGCUAACAUCCAUGCCCAUCUUUCUCUACUUUAUAUGUGGGAUGCCUGCCACAGCAUGGCUUGAUAAGUGGUGCCAAGUCUGUACCUGGGAUGUGAACCAGCGAACCCCAGGCCGCUGAAGCCAACGUGUGAACUUAACCGCUGUGCCACCGGGCCGGCUCCUGACUUCCUUCUUGAGUCUUUGCGAGACUGUUCUCUCUGUCUGGAAGGGCAUUCCAGCCUCAGGUCAAAGCCGUUCUCAGCCUGCACCUCAUCACUCCAGAGAUAAACAAACAAAGCAGCAACAGCAGACGUGUGCGGGACUCCCGAGCGAGGGCGGGAUUGUCACGGGCACCCAGGACUUUGGGUCUCCAGCCCAGCCCUCGCCCUCUGUCUUUCUCUCCCUCAGCCCUGCUUUGAAGCAGAUCUCCCUGCGACAUCAGCAGUCUCCUCGGCAGCCGGAGACGUGCAGCCGUGACUUGCUGCCGGGGGCUUUUCCAGCAUAAGCCUCGGUAAACACGUCCCUGAGAGCACCUGAACUCAAUAUCAGUCCAGGCCCGAGGAUUAGCGGGCAGAAGGGGCUGCCGAAGUGGGGGCAUUCACACGUUUUCAUAUCUCUCCUCUCCAGGAAAACAAACAGCCUCUGUAGGUCUCAAUUGUCCCUUAUGACAGAGUCUGUGAUCACCAUAAGAAGACAGCCAGCCCUUCGGCCACGUCAGCUGUCAUGUGCUAACACGAGAUGUUCCUGGAAACCUGCAUAUCAUAAUUUAGAUGCUGGGGCCACUUAGACAAAACGUUCACUUUCCAAAUUCAAUUACGGUUCUUUAAUAAUCAUAAUUAUCAUGAUGAUUAUUAGAUUAUUAUUAUUGUUCUCAUUUUGGUAUUAUAUAUAAUAAGGCAAUCCCCCAAGUAGAAUUUAUGACCGAAUAAAUGGGCUGAUGAAGAAGAAUGGCCUUGCA